rnacentral:lncRNA from 1 species
AUCAUCUAUCUUAUAUAAGAUUUAAUCAGCUCAAGUUCAAAUUGUGAAAUCUCAUAAAUUUUUUUUUUCAUAAUUCACUAUGUUAUGACCACGAUCUUAUGAACUCGACUUCAUAAAUCACAUAGGAUUACUUUUUAACUACUAAGAUCGAUAGAUCUCUUCUAAAUGUGCACUCUACUCCUACAGCAAACCUACUAUAGCCAAUAUACAUAGUGAGGAUCCAAAUGACUAGGAGAUCAAAUUUAUAUACAGUCAAACUAUAGCAAUCUUAUCAUGAGUAGUCAAGGCACCAC